rnacentral:rRNA from 1 species
UACAGAGGAGCCAAGCGUUGUCCGGAUUGACUGGGCGUAAAGCGCACGCAGGCGGGGGUGCGCGUGGGGUGUGAAAUCUGGCCGCUUAACGGCCAGGCGCCAUCCCAUACGGCACGCCUGGAGCCUUGCAGAGAUCGGUGGAAUUGCCGGUGUAGUGGUGAAAUGCGUAGAGAUCGGCAGGAACACCCAGGGGAAAACCAGCCGACUGGGCAAGUGCUGACGCUGAGGUGCGAGAGCGUGGGGAGCGAACCGG